AAAGGGAGACCUAAUUCGGGUAUAAGACGAAAAAAAAGUAGUCCCUACCAAGAAUCAAUCCCAAAAGGUCGGAACGAGGUAUGAGGCUUUCAAACUAGGUUCUGGGUUCAUAAAAGACCUGAAUCAGGAACAAGGGCUAUUAGCUCAGGUGGUUAGAGCGCACCCCUGAUAAGGGUGAGGUCCCUGGUUCGAGUCCAGGAUGGCCCACCUGCACAGGUGGCAAAAACAAGAGAAGCGAGGAAUCAGCACCUUAUCUUAUAUACAUAUAUAAGAGAGAAUGCUGGCUCUGAGUACAGAGUCCAGAGGAACCUUGAAAACUGCAUAGAGCUAGGUGAAAAAGCCAAAAAAGAAGACCGCAAG
rnacentral:tRNA from 1 species